UACGUAGGGGGCAAGCGUUGUCCGGAAUUAUUGGGCGUAAAGAGCGCGUAGGCGGUCCGAUAAGUCGGCUGUGAAAGUCAAGGGCUCAACCCUUGAAAGCCGGCCGAUACUGUCGGACUAGAGUCCGGAAGAGGCGAGUGGAAUUCCCGGUGUAGCGGUGAAAUGCGCAGAUAUCGGGAGGAACACCGGUGGCGAAGGCGGUUCUCUGGGCCUUACCUGACGCUGAGGAGCGAAAGCGUGGGGAGCGAACAGG
rnacentral:rRNA from 1 species